rnacentral:rRNA from 1 species
GAUGAACGCUGGCGGCGUGCCUAAUACAUGCAAGUCGAGCGAACAGAUAAGGAGCUUGCUCCUUUGACGUUAGCGGCGGACGGGUGAGUAACACGUGGGUAACCUACCUAUAAGACUGGGAUAACUUCGGGAAACCGGAGCUAAUACCGGAUAACAUUUUGAACCGCAUGGUUCUAAAGUGAAAGAUGGUUUUGCUAUCACUUAUAGAUGGACCCGCGCCGUAUUAGCUAGUUGGUAAGGUAACGGCUUACCAAGGCAACGAUACGUAGCCGACCUGAGAGGGUGAUCGGCCACACUGGAACUGAGACACGGUCCAGACUCCUACGGGAGGCAGCAGUAGGGAAUCUUCCGCAAUGGGCGAAAGCCUGACGGAGCAACGCCGCGUGAGUGAUGAAGGGUUUCGGAUCGUAAAACUCUGUUAUUAGGGAAGAACAAAUGUGUAAGUAACUGUGCACGUCUUGACGGUACCUAAUCAGAAAGCCACGGCUAACUACGUG